GGGGUUGUGGCUCAGUGAUAGAGCGCUUGCCUAGCAUGUUGAGGCACUGAGUUCAAUCCUCAGCACCACA
rnacentral:tRNA from 1 species